rnacentral:rRNA from 1 species
GACGAACGCUGGCGGCGUGCCUAAUACAUGCAAGUAGAACGCAGUUGCGAACGGGUGAGUAACGCGUAGGUCACUGCCUGGUAGCGGGGGCUAACUAUUGGAAACGAUAGCUCAUACCGCAUACUACCAGAUGGACCUGCGUUGUAUUAGCUAGUUGGUGCGGUAACGGCCCACCAAGGCAACGAUACAUAACCGACCUGAGAGGGUAGCGGCCCAAAUUGGACUGGGACAAGGGCCAGGCUCCUACGGGAGGCAGCAGGAGGGAAACUUCGGAAAUGGGGGGAACGCCGACCGAGCAAAGGCGGGGGAGUGAAGGAAGGUUUCGGGUCGUAAAGCUCUGUUGUUAAGGAAGCGGUACUUAACCAGAAAGGGACGGCUAACUACGUGCCAGCAGCCGCGGUAAUAC